GUUAUACCCAUCCGUGAAAAAUUUUUGCAAAUAAAUUUUGUUUAGUACUUCAUACACGCAAGAUUCUUUUUAAAGCGUGAGUAGUGUGGAUAAACCAAACAGGGCCAAGCUUAUCCAACUAUCGAUUCACGUCCCCAAACCCAGUACCCGAACAAAAUGAGAGCUUAUACCAUUGCAUUACUGUGUGCAAAUGGGAGUGCAACACCUGCCACUGUCAAUAGGCGGUGUGCAGCUGGGAAAUCGAGGGCUCUCAUGCCAUCGGGUUACCGUACGCGAGCGCAAAUAAAAAAAAGCCUUUAUCGUCCGUGAGUUGCUCACAUGUACUACAUGGCUGUUGUGCGUCCAUCUCAUACAGUGGAAAAUAGCGUCUCGCACGUGGUUCAGUCUGUCGUCCUUACCUCACGAACAAAUUGCACGCUUGCUGACGCCGCUGGUAACAAUUCAACGCAAGAUGCAGUGCGGCCGAUGCCACGAGGCUUGCUGGAAGCUCAUCAGGCUUUAGAACUCCAUGAGGUCCCGCCCCUUGGGGCUUAGCCAUGUUCUGCGGCCAAAGUGCUUGCCGUUGUCAACAGGCGGCAGCUCAGGAGCUUCAUCAAACCUCGAGAGAUAUAUAAACACAAUUAGCCAUGUAUGUUCAGUGUCUAAAGCUUCCAUCGGCGUUCAAGCAACUGUUGGAUCAGGUUGCAUAGAAAAGAAAAGAAAAGAAAAAAAGGAGGUGCGAAAAGUUUGUGCUCACUUACAGUUUUUGCUAUGUCUAGCUUAUGCCUCACAUUAUGUAUUCAUGUGUCAUUCGCUCACUUUCUAUUUUUGCUAAGUCUCUUUGCUUUUUCAUUAUGGAUGGUCCAGAUAAAAUAUUGCGAAAAUUACCUAUUUGACAUUAGGAAAGAUUAGGUUUGCUCAUUUGACACUAAAAUAUCAAAACUUGCUCAUAUAUCUCCAUCUGAAAAUUUUGUUGCCAGUUGCAACACAAUAUGUACUGGCGCGGCGAAGCGCGCCCAAACAACCUAGUUGCUUUGAGGACCCAAGAUCCUCCCCUGCCGUGAGCACCUAAUAAUUAAUAAGUGCUAGAAUGAGGCAACUGGAUAUGACUGUGAUAGCCUAUUUCCUUUUGCCUUCCAUUCCACUAUGAGAAUAUAUUUGCUAAUUUCUUCUGAACUGCAGCACCUGACCUGCUCUUUCCCCUUCAUGUUAAGCUGGCUAGCUCGUUCUUCUGGUGGUGGCAAAGUGAAUAUAUAAUAUGGGGAAGCUAUCAUCAAAUAUAUAUAAUUGUACACAGAGCCGUGUUGUAUACUAGUUAUUGUGGGUUGGUGAAUAAUAUAUAGGAUGUUAUACUGGUUAACCAAUCUAUAAUGUUUGCAA